UCAUUUGCUAUCUGGGGUGCGUUGAGUCCUGCGCGAGCGGGGAGCAGAGUUGCCAUGGAAACGGGGCAUCAACACAAAAACCGUUACUGGCAAGCAGUAAUCUCCGUCUCUUGCUGCAGUUGACACUGUUUUGGAAACGGUUUAGUUUCUUCGAAAAAGUCCGUUAGCAUCUUAGCAGUUUUCAGGAGGACAGGAAGAAACUCUACAGAACAGAAGUGAAGCUCCAAGAUUUCAACAUUUCUGAAGGGAGAUACUGACUUAGAAAUACAGAUGGCUUGUUUUGUUCCUGGACUCUUCAGUGAUGAUGAGCAGAGUCUGAGUGAACCUGCUGUCAGACAGGUUGGCCUGAUUGACGAUGCCAUCGUCCAUCGCCGAUGGCUGAUAGACAUUACGAUGCUGCGCCGGAAACAGCGUCAUCAGCUGCAGUAUCUCGCCCGUGCAUCUGUUGUCAUGCGACAGAGAAGUCACGUUCUAUAGACAGUUUCUAUAGACAGUUGUGAGGGUGCUGACAGCUGGUUGCCCAGGCUAUGGAUUAAAGGUAAUACUGUUGGCCAGCAGAGCCCUGCUCACCCUGACGGCCCACCGCUGCUGUCAGACAACAUCUCCAAGAUGCUAUAAACUGCAGGACUAGAUGUCAAUCCCAAGGUUUCUAGAGAUUACACCAGCUCCAAACUGAAUCCAAACUCACUUGUGAAGACUUCAGAUGACACCAACGCUCACAAAGACUACAACUGUACAUGAACACACAAAACAUUGGACACACAAAACAAUUAUUAUCCUUAUUUUGCCUAUAAGGGUAAAUUUGAUGAUUUUCAAA